rnacentral:rRNA from 1 species
GAUGAACGCUGGCGGCGUGCCUAAUACAUGCAAGUCGAGCGAACAGGCGAGGAGCUUGCUCCUCUGACGUUAGCGGCGGACGGGUGAGUAACACGUGGAUAACCUACCUAUAAGACUGGGAUAACUUCGGGAAACCGGAGCUAAUACCGGAUAAUAUAUUGAACCGCAUGGUUCAAUAGUGAAAGACGGUUUUGCUGUCACUUAUAGAUGGAUCCGCGCCGCAUUAGCUAGUUGGUAAGGUAACGGCUUACCAAGGCAACGAUGCGUAGCCGACCUGAGCGGGUGAUCGGCCACACUGGAACUGAGACACGGUCCAGACUCCUACGGGAGGCAGCAGUAGGGAAUCUUCCGCAAUGGGCGAAAGCCUGACGGAGCAGCACCGCGUGAGUGAUGAAGGUCUUCGGAUCGUAAAACUCUGUUAUUAGGGAAGAACAAAUGUGUAAGUAACUAUGCACGUCUUGACGGUACCUAAUCAGAAAGCCACGGCUAACUACGUG